UGUAUGUAUGUACAUGCAAUAUUACAAAUUAAAGGUAAAACUAGAAAAACAAAACACAAAAUUAUCAUUUUCUUUUGUUUCCUUAAAAAAAAACCGUACAAAAUGUUUUGCUUAGUAUACAAGAUGCUAGUAGCGGCUGAUAUUUUAGGUUAGGUGUCAACGCUUAGCUAAUCAAAUUCCUUACUCAAAAAGAGAGGGAGAGAAAAACCAUUCAAUCUCAGUUCAUAGCAGAGACGACUUAAGACGUUUACGUAUAAUAUACUCCUAUUUAUAAGAUGCUGGCUACUGUACUUGUUGAUUUGCUUCCGUAAAACCUUUGCAUUUUGAGUACGGUCACGAAAAUUUUAUCAGUUUUACCACCAUAAUUUGCAUACACACGAAACAUAAUAGAAGGCUGUUUAUGUAAAACACUGUUGCCACCAUGUUUUAAAUAAUAAAAAAACAUUAAGAUGCGAAACAUCUUGAUUUUGAAUGCCAAAAUA
rnacentral:sRNA from 1 species